rnacentral:snRNA from 1 species
AUCGCUUCUCGGCCUUAUGGCUAAGAUCAAAGUGUAGUAUCUGCAAUCAUUUUCUUAAGCCAUAACCCCUU